AGCUUUGUGCAGUGGCAGUAUCGUAGCCAAUGAGGUUUAUCCGAGGUGCAAUUAUUGCUAAUUGUAAGGGGCUAAUAUCCAAAAUAUACAAGGAACUCAUGAAACUCAACAAUAAAAAAACAAACACCCAGUUGA
ensembl:snRNA U4 U4 spliceosomal RNA